rnacentral:rRNA from 1 species
AUUGAACGCUGGUGGCAUGCCUUACACAUGCAAGUCGAACGGCAACAGGUCUUCGGAUGCUGACGAGUGGCGAACGGGUGAGUAAUACAUCGGAACGUGCCCGAGAGUGGGGGAUAACGAAGCGAAAGCUUUGCUAAUACCGCAUACGAUCUCAGGAUGAAAGCAGGGGACCGCAAGGCCUUGCGCUCACGGAGCGGCCGAUGGCAGAUUAGGUAGUUGGUGGGAUAAAAGCUUACCAAGCCGACGAUCUGUAGCUGGUCUGAGAGGACGACCAGCCACACAGGGACGGAGAGACGGCCCAGCCUCCUACGGGAGGCAGCAGUGGGGAAUUUUGGACAAUGGGCGCAAGCCUGAUCCAGCCAUGCCGCGUGCAGGAUGAAGGCCUUCGGGUUGUAAACUGCUUUUGUACGGAACGAAAAGACUCCUUCUAAUAAAGGGGGUCCAUGACGGUACCGUAAGAAUAAGCACCGGCUAACUACGUGCCAGCAGCCGCCGUAAUAC